AAUAACUCUCUAUACAUAUACCAUUCAAUAUCAAUUACCUAAUCUAAUUUCAAAGUCAUAAAUUAAAACUACACAUUUAAACUAGGGUUGGCAAAAAAAGUCCGACCCAACCCAAACCUACAGAUUUUAAGCCCGGCCCGCAGAAUAAAAACAUAAAUAAGGGCUCAGGAAAUGUAAAACCCAUAUAUAUUGGACUUUGGGUAAAGGCGUUUAAGAAAAAGCCCGCCGGCUUUAUUAUAUAAAAUAAAAUCAAAUUAAAAAAAAAAUACAAAACAGCCGACCCUAAAAAUUUCCUAAUACCUCACGCUGUCACAGGAGUCACACCGACCUUCCCAAAACCAAGUGAAGCAAGAACCAGCAACUGCAUCUUCAUCAUCACACCAGCCCAACAAUUUCAGCCACCGCCGACCACCAUGAUGCAGCCAUUAAGCGACGCAGCUACUCGAACCAAACACCAGCAGCGCGACGCAGUAGCAGCCAUUAAAGACAAUCAUUUAGUUUUCAAUCUUCCAUAUGUAAUAUGCAACAGAGAAUAGCCGCUUGAAUGCUGUUGAACUUGUAGAAUCUGCCGCCAUUAAUUCAUCAACGGGUAAGAUGCACUUCUCAUGGUAUUGUCAGUUUUUUGGGUUUUUUUAUUUGAUCAUGUAAAGGCAAACUAAACAAAUUGGGUUAGUUUAAUUUGGUGAAAUUCGAUUUGGGUUUAUUGUGAUUAUGAGUAUUUAUUUAUUUGUUCGUUUCAGAUGGAAUUAAGAGAUGAGGUUGUAAAAAUUGAUAGCUUGGAGAAGGGUUAAAAUGGAAUAGAACGUGAAGAUGAUGAAUUUAUACCAGAGGUGGCAAAAAUAUCCGUUUGGUCCGGACCCAGAUUGUACGCAGGCGUUGUGGACUGG
rnacentral:lncRNA from 1 species